AAGGGGAAGAGAUCUGAAGCAUUUUCCUUCUCCCUUAGCUCACUUUCCUUAGCAUUCAAGGUUUUCACGACCUCCAACCUUCAUACCUUACCUUUAGCAACCUCAGAACACCUUGCUAUUUCCUCGCGCACUUUCUUAGACGCUUUCCUAGCCUCAGACCUUACAUAAACUGUAAACUGUUUUUCUGUUCAAAAUCACCAUGAGACACUGGCGGGAACACUCACUGUAAAGUGAGUUCCUUUAGUAAGAAAUAGUAAAAAGUUACUUCUCUCAUUGGUCUUCAAAGUCUUCAGAGACCUGAGAAGGAUAAAAUUUACCUAAGUAAGCAGGAACAAUAAUCCAAAAAUGGCCUAUAUAUCAACUAAAACGACCGAGGCGAGUCUAAAGUCUACUACCUAAACAAUUGUCCCAGGCUCUGUGGCCUCCAUGGCACCUUGUGCAGAGGCAGUCUUUGGCCAUUUGGUCCAGACUAUGAGAGGCUUUUCCUGUGGAGGAGGAACAUGGGAGAGACAGACCUCACCUUGUCUUAGGCAGCAUGGACAAUUAACUCUCUGGUGUCCUGUUUGUCCAUGGUUCAGGCUGGCCCUAGCCUGGGCAAGGCAAUGUGGCAGUCUUUCUUGGUGAUUAGUGUAGUACAAGCUAGGUGGAGUCCUUUACCGAUAUGCCAGGAUCUUCUUGGCGACCUUGAGGUGGUCACUGCCAGGAUUUAGGAGUUUCUGUUUGUCAUGGUAAGUUUAAGCCUCUUAAAUGCCAGAUUCAGCAGGUCUCUGAAGUGCCUGAGGACCAUCUGUCAAUCUAAAGCAUACUGGAAUAGACAAACUUUGCUUGUUUCUAGUUGCCAGUCCUAGGUUUAACCUUAAAAACAUGUGCAGGUGGGCAAAUGAGCUUGAAGAGCUAGUGCAGACUAAUCGUAUCUGGUAUCUGAGUUAAACAGUCACUGUCUGUUUUUUUUUUAACCUCUUACAGUUUAGUUACCUCUUCUAAACUGUACCUGUAAUAUUAAAAUGAAAUACCUUUUUAAGACAUAGAGCAUAGCCAUAAUUUUCAGAAGACAAAAACUAAGUUCUAGCAAGUGCAAACAAUGUAAGGUCUCCAAAGUUAAUACCAAGUGGGUGACUAUUAUGUUACACGGUUUGCCUGUCAGGUAGGGACUGAAGGAUGCUGGGAGAACCUGGUGGCCAGGGCCACUUUGGCAUGUUAAAUAUGCACCUCAGCUGAUUGUCCAGGGCCUGAAUCUCAGUAGGUGGCAGUGUGUCCCAGAGGCUAAUCCUGUGCAACACUAGUGAGAAUUGUAAGAAAUAAAGGAAAAUGUAGUGGUUUCAUUCAAAUGAUGUGGUAACCCAUCCCAGCAGGGAGGCAGAGGCAGGUGAAUCUUUGUGAGUUUGAGGCUAGCGUGGUUUACAUAGAGAGAGUCCCAAGACAGCUAUGGCUCUAUCGAGACGCUGUUUCAAACCAAACCAAAUAAAAGAAUGAGCCACAACAACGUGCAAUAUGAAUGUGUUAUAAAAACUAGUGCGCAUACCCACUGCAAAACAUCAAGCAAAAGAAACUGAAUGAGUAAGAUCGGCAAAGGGGCAAAAAACUAUUAUGCACAGAUGACAUAAUUACGUAUAAGCUAUUAAAACGGCCAGUGAGCUAGCAAGUCUACUAGACACAAAACCAAU
rnacentral:lncRNA from 1 species